rnacentral:rRNA from 1 species
GACGAACGCUGGCGGCGUGCUUAACACAUGCAAGUCGAACGGAAAGGCCCCUUCGGGGGUACUCGAGUGGCGAACGGGUGAGUAACACGUGAGUAACCUGCCCUUGCCUUCGGGAUAACUUCAGGAAACUGGGGCUAAUACCGGAUAGGAAUCCUUGCUGCAUGGUGGGGGUUGGAAAGCUUCGGCGGUUUUGGAUGGACUCGCGGCUUAUCUGCUUGUUGGUGGGGUAGUGGCUUACCAAGGCUUUGACGGGUAGCCGGCCUGAGAGGGCGACCGGCCACAUUGGGACUGAGAUACGGCCCAGACUCGUACGGGAGGCAGCAGUGGGGAAUAUUGCACAAUGGGCGGAAGCCUGAUGCAGCAACGCCGCGGGCGGGAUGACGGCCUUCGGGUUGUAAACCGCUUUCAGCAGGGGCGAAGCUUGUGGUGACGGUACCUGCAGAAGAAGCACCGGCUAACUACGUG